rnacentral:rRNA from 1 species
GACGAACGCUGGCGGCGUGCUUAACACAUGCAAGUCGAGCGAGCGGCGGAAGGGUGAGUAUGGUUUGGGAAACUGACCGAUGGAGGGGGCUAACUACUGGAAACGGUAGCCAAUAUCGCAUACCAUCGGAUGUGCCCAGAUGGGAUUAGCUAGGAGGUGGGGGAACGGCUAACCUAGGCGACGAUGCCUAGCCGGUCUGAGAGGAUGACCAGCCACACUGGAACUGAGACACGGUCCAGACUCCUACGGGAGGCAGCAGUGGGGAAGAUUGCACAAUGGUCGCAAGCCUGAUGCAGCCAUGCCGCGUGUAUGAAGAAGGUCUUCGGGUUGUAAAGUACUGUCAGUGGGGAGGCGUUACUCGAAGAGGAAGCACCGGCUAACUCCGUGCCAGCAGCCGCGGUAAUAC